rnacentral:lncRNA from 1 species
CCACCUCUACGCAUGCGCCCCCAGCUUCCGCGGGAGGGAGGGGGCGGAAAAAGGAGGAGGAAGAGGGGCGGGCAAACUUGGAACUAACCAAUGAUAGCGGCGCUAGCCGGGAUCUUGGCCGGCACAGAACUGGGGGCGGAAUCGCGCGGGGCCUGAAGGGAGGGGUUUGGGCGCGGGAGCCGGGCAGGAGAAGACGGAAGUGGAGCGAGGACAAAAUGGCUGCGAAGAACCGCCUCAGGACGCGGUCGUGUCUGGAUCCCUCCGCGGAAAAGAAGGCGAAACCGCUUCUCUGAGCCCUGACCGUUAGGCCCCUUCCCACCUCCGUCUAGAACAGAUUCGGCUUCUUGGCUCAGUCCUUCCCCAACUAGCCCAAGCCCUACAUUUCCCCGUUGUUUAUAAAAUAAACAGGUUUAAAUGGUG